GCACUCGUGGCCGAGUGGUUAAGGCAAUGGUCUCGAAAACCGUUGGGGUGUCCCCACGCGGGUUCGACUCCCGCCGACGGCA